rnacentral:rRNA from 1 species
CCUACGGGAGGCAGCAGUGAGGAAUAUUGGGCAAUGGACGGAAGUCUGAACCAGCCAUGCCGCGUGCAGGAAGACGGCUCUAUGAUUUGUAAACUGCUUUUGUACAAGGGUAAACCUGAAUACGUGUAUUCAGCUGAAAGUACUGUACGAAGAAGGAUCGGCUGACUCCGUGCCAGCAGCCGCGGUAAUACGGAGGAUCCAAGCGUUAUCCGGAUUUAUUGGGUGUAAAGGGUGCGUAGUCGGAUUGAUAAGUUAGAGGUGAAAUGUCCGGGCUUAACUCGGGAACUGCAUUUAAUACUGUUGGUCUUGAGAGUAGGUGAGGUAGGCGGAAUGUAUGGUGUAGCGGUGAAAUGCUUAGAGAUCA